rnacentral:rRNA from 1 species
ACGAUGGAUAUCUUGGAUCAGAAAAAGGGCGUGGUAGAUAGAGAAUCGUAGGGGAGUGUGAAAUGAUACAAUUUAUUGUAUUGGU